GUUAAUAAUCACCGACCACAACUUGUUCACUGAUCCACUAUAAAUAUGAAUCUUUCCUUCCUUCCAAUACACCACAAACAUAUUCCAAGACAGAUAUUCAUUAUCAGAGAGUAAAAGCCUAGAUUGAAAGAAAGCAAAGAUGUCUGAUCAAUGCGAAGGUAAGGAUUCAUGGCCUGAACUGUUGGGAGCUCAAGGAACAGUUGCGAAGGCAACAAUUGAGAGAGAAAACUCUUUAGUCGAGGCAGUGAUUGUGCUUGAAGGAUCAUUUGUCACUCAAGAUUUCAGGUGUGAUAGGGUUCGUGUUUGGGUCAAUACAGAUGGCAUUGUUACCAGGGUCCCUGUCAUUGGGUAAUUGAUCGGUCGUUGAUAAUAAUGGUUACUAGCUAGUCUCUUACAUACAUGUGAAGAAAAUCAUAUGAAAUAAUACUGAAAUAAUGAAAUAAUGAGUUAUAUUUCCAUGUAAUAUUCAUUGUAUUAAACAGUAUGUAGUUUGUUUUUCUUUCAGUUUAUUCUUACUGAAUCUACAUAAAUAAAGAAUUAUUUGCCUUUUCUUCUCUAAA